rnacentral:tRNA from 11 species
GGGUGCAUAGCUCAGUUGGUAGAGCAGCUGACUCUUAAUCAGCGGGCCCAAGGUUCGAGUCCUUGUGCACCCACCA